AUUGAACGCUGGCGGUAUGCUUAACACAUGCAAGUCGAACGGCAGCAUUUUAAUGAAGAUUUCGGUCCGAUUUAAAGAUGGCGAGUGGCGGACGGGUGAGUAAUGCAUAGGAAUCUACCUAAAAGUUGGGGAUAGCUUGUGGAAACGCAAGGUAAUACCGAAUAAGCUCUGAGGAGUAAAGGGGGCGUAAGCUUUCGCUUUUAGAUGAGCCUAUGUCAGAUUAGCUAGUUGGUGGGGUAAAGGCCUACCAAGGCAACGAUCUGUAGCUGUUCUGAGAGGAAGAUCAGCCACAUUGGGACUGAGACACGGCCCAG
rnacentral:rRNA from 1 species